rnacentral:lncRNA from 1 species
AAAUUCUGACACAUGCUACCAGAGGGAUGAACCUUGAAGACGUUAUGCUAAGUCAAAGAAGCCAGACUCUAAAGGACAGAUAUUGUAUGAUUCUACUUAUAUGAGGUGCCCAGAAUAUGUAAAUUCAUAGAGACAGAAAGUAGAUUAGAGGUUACCGGGGCUGCAGGAAGGAGGAAUAGGGAGUUAGAGGGUUACAGAGUUUCUGUUUUAAGUAAUGAAAAAGUUUCAGAAAUAGAUAGUGGUGAUGGUCGUACGCUGCGAAUAUAUUUGAUGACACCGAAUGGUACACUUGAAAAUGGUUAAAAUGGUAAACUCCAUGUUAUGUAUGUUUUACCACAAUUAAAAGAAAAAAGUCUAGAAUGAUGAAAAUAGGCAAGCAGAUGUAGGUGUGAGUCCAGAUGUACCUCCUUCCUGUAUGAACUGUGCGAGUGACAACAUCUCUGAAUCUCUAUUUCCUCGUUUUAAAGCUGUUGAUGAUAAUGCCUAACUCACUAGGCAGGUAGGAUGUGAAUGAUCGAGCCAGUACUGAGCACCCAGCGUAAGCACUCCAUACACGUGGAGGAGGCAGCAGCGGUGGUGAGGUCUUAUUAUGGUUGGUUCUGAAGUUCUAUAGCAGAAACUGAAACACAUGGAUCCCGAGUGUUCCUCGCCACACGCGCUGAUGAACGGUUAAGUGAUAACUGAGAUUUCGUUCUUGUUUUGGAAGAAGGAUUUUUCGACAGAAUGCCAAGGAAGAACCAGGUGUUUGAAAAAUGUGGCUGCGUUAAGUUAAAUGAGCCUUUUUCGGAUGCCAGAUGGGAACAUAAAGCUGUUUGAAACCCCAACGGUCUUUUCUUGUUGAUUUUCACAUGACUGAAAAAUGAUUUGACCGCAGCACGGAGGAGCUGCUGAAGUGUUCUUGCAGCCAGCUCCGUCGCUGCUAUUUAGGAAAAGAAGAGAUGUGAGAGCAGAAACUCAUAACCCUUGAAAACAGGAGGCUUGCCGUGGCAGCCUCGGAGGAGGCCUCUGAUUAUGGCGUUGCUGAGGGACAUGUUAAUUACCGGGCGCUCGGACACGUCCCUUCAGCCGAGUCCAGUCGGUCCGUUGCCUCGUGUACGAGGAAAUGGAGUUCCGUGGCGAGAGAAGCAGAAGCUACCUACCAGGUUGGAAAAGACCCACAGAAAACAUGGAAACACAUCGACGAAAACUGUUUGCUUUCUGUGUUCCAAAAAGUGGAUGAUCAAUGCCUGCUCCCCAGAUACCGUUACAUCCGCCUCCAGGGCACGUUAACGUUUUCUCAAAUGAGUUUACGCCAAAUUCUUAUGGAUAUUGACUGUGGCUCCCUAGUAAAGCACAGCUGCAGACCUGGAAACUCGUCCUCUGAACAUUUGGAAGCAACUGUGCCGGCUCCUUCCUUUGCUGCAGACACAUAUGGCCGCUGAAAAAUACUGCGCCUUUAUAUUUAACCCUUCGGGCCCUGAAAGGAGCUGUUUUGUGGAGCUGAGCUGGAAUUUAUUUGGUGCACAGUGAAUGCACCUCCUAAAAGUCACCCUUAGCUCCCGCCGUGUCCCCGUGUGCCGUGUGGCGGCACUACCUUGAAUAGUGGCUUACUAUUCCUUUUUCCUCUCUUUUCAACUGGAAAUAAAUAGAUUUUCAGAUGGUACUUAGUGUCUCAGGCUUCCCCUUUGGUGUAAGUGCCAACACUGAAAGGAAAGGGGUUUUUUCUCCCCAAGAAAAUGAAAAAGUUCUGUGUUGGAUUUGAAACUGAAGUCUCAGUGCUGGGAGCCAGCCCUGGGCAAACAGGCGGCUGGAGAGUAAGUCACCUCCCUCCUCUUCUCCUCACAGAGCUGUAUGCCCAUUACCUGAGGGGACGGAAUCCAAGCAUGGGUCAACAAUAAGGCAACAGAAAAAAAAUGCAGUCAACAACAGUAAGAAAAAAUAUGAUAGAGGAAUUGGCUCACUUGAUUGUGGAGGCUUGGCAAGUCCGAAAUCUGAUGGGGAAGGCUGGCAGGCUGGAGACUCAGGGGAGAGUUGCAGUUCAAAGUCCAAAGUCUGCUGGCAGAAUUCCAGUCUUGGUUCUAUUAAGGCCUUCAACUGAUUGGAUGAGGCCCACCCACAUUAUGGAGAGCAAUCUGCUUUAUUCAAAGUCUGCUGAUUUAAAUGUUAAUCUCAUCCAAAAAACACCUUCACAGAAACAUCCAGUAUAAGUUUGAUCAAAUAUCUGGACACCAUGGCCCAGCCAAGUUGACACAAAAAUUUAAUCCUCACAGGUACUAUGGACGUAGGUCUAUAAUUAAUUAUGAAUUCAACAAAUUCAAUGUGUAUUUAAUGAAUGCCUACUGUGUGUCCAGAACUAUGUUUAUCCAUUGGAAUAUAAUAGUUAAUACACAAUUAACCCUGCCCUCAAAGAACUGACAAUCUAGUAAGCCGUAAUUAAGCAGGUAACAACCCCGUGUGCCAAAUGCUGGCGAGCUCCCAGCGGUGGAGUGUGCAUCUGCUCUGAGCAGAGUGUGUUGCAUGCAUUAUCUCAUUCAGUCUCCACACAAACCUUUAGGCAGGCACUGUUGUCCCUGUUGCUUGGAUGAGGAAGAUGAGGUUUGGAGAGAUAGAGGAGCUGUAUGGAGGUCACAUAGCUACAAGUGCAGAGCGCAGAUUGAACUCAUCUCUGCCUGAUGCCCAAGUCCAGGCUGCCGGUGGCUUCCCUGUCUCACUUAUGCCCUCCUGCCAGGCUUCUCACAGACGGGCGCGCGGAGGAGGAGCAGGACCGUGCAAACCAAGGUCAGCCUGGGAGGCAGACAUCCGGAGAAACCCGGGGAGCUCGGCUGUUCUCGGAGACACACGUGCUCUCUCGCCCCUGCUGGCUGGCUUGCGUUGCCACUUCCUGAGCCUCUGGGAUGUGGGCGGCAAACAGGCCACCAGCGCUACCCUGGAGUCUGCAAGUCCAUCCUGGGUAACAACUCUCUCAGUAUCCUCAUCUUUUAAAGGGACACAUGAGCAUGUGUCUGUGUGUAGGUAGAGAGAGGGAAGAUUUGAACCCUUUCCAGGAAAGCCCCCUCUCAUCUAUUCUGCUCAGGGACGUGCUCUGGGUCAGAUUCUGCACUGACAUUCAGAAACGCAGCACUUCCGGGGCCGGGCCGGGAUUCCAGGUACAUUUGUACGUCGUAGCAAACUGAAACCCCUCCACUUUCAAGCCUGUGAAAGGUUCAUGCUCCCUCAUCGCCUUCAGUGCCCUGAUUUGCUUGCCUUCUUGUGACAUUGGUUUUGUUACACUGAAUUUCGUUACUUCAAGGGCCAGCAUCGGUCAUCUUGAGGGAUUUUAAUUGACAAUAAGGAGACUGCUUAUGCUAUAGAGAGGGUCACUGCAUCUUAUUGCCCCUGAAUAUGUAUGGCUUUUAAAAUCACCGUUUAAUGAUUCAUAUGUGGAAGAAAAUGCUUAUCAUAUAAUGUUCGUGGAGAGAAAUCAGACUUCAACACUGCAUUUGCAAUAUGAUUGUGACUGUGUACAUCAUGUGGGUCAGGCCUUGAAGGGGUUGUGGGCAACGGACAAUAGCUUGAUUUGUUGGGGAAGUGGGAUGAGAGGCGACUUUUUCUCCUUUUAACCAUUGUUGUGUUGCUGUUUCUGCUAUUACAC